UACGUAGGGGGCAAGCGUUGUCCGGAAUCAUUGGGCGUAAAGCGCGUGUAGGCGGCCUUGUAAGUCCGUUCUGAAAGCCCGGGGCUCAACCCCGGGAGGCGGAUGGAUACUGCAAGGCUCGAGUCCGGAAGAGGCGAGUGGAAUUCCCGGUGUAGCGGUGAAAUGCGCAGAUAUCGGGAGGAACACCUAUGGCGAAGGCAGCUCGCUGGGACGGUACUGACGCUGAGACGCGAAAGCGUGGGGAGCAAACAGG
rnacentral:rRNA from 1 species